CUUUUCUAGCGUUAAAACAUUUGUAUUUUCAUAUGCUGAUUAUUCACUGUGCAUAUUUUGAGUUAUCUGAAUGCCAUACAUGUCAGCUCCUCCUUGUCCAUUAGCAUUUUUCUUUCUUUUUUUUUUUUGUUACCACUCUAAGGGAGGGAAGACCUUUUGGUUUCGGCUGGAAAGGAAAACGUGUUUUUCUUUUUUUUUUUUCUUUUGUUAUCUUGCACUGAAACGGGAAGUAAAAUGAUGAUGUAGCAUUUUUCUUGACAAAUAUACUAAUGAGGUCUUCCUUGUCUGGUGGUUUUGCACUAUUUCCAACAUUUCUGGGACAAUCUCGUCAGUCUCAACACAACAACCUCUCCAAAUUUCUCAUCUGGCUGCAAAAAAGAAAUUGCUCUUCGUAAUUAGUGUGAAAUCUCUCCUUCUCACUCGCAGUUGAAACAAGACGUGGUAAAUAAGUAUGGUAUCGUCAAGGUAGAUUUUCACAGUCAUGCUUGGUAAUUUUGUGGUAUGUUUUCAGAUGUGGAAAUGGCUUUUAAACUUUAAACUUGGUAACAGCUUUUGACCUAACAUUGCAGAAAAAUGACAGCUCUUUGGUCCUCGAGUGCCUCAGCCCACCCACCCCCUCCCCACCAAAUGUCUAUUUGUCAGGUAAUUGCUUAACGCGGGCACUUGACUGCAAUCAUACUUUUUACAGCAACGGUCAAUGAAGAGAGUGGUGAAGAAGAGCCAUCAUGCUUUCAAACCGAUCUCGUGCUUUCUCCAUGUCAGUGGUGGUAAAACGUUCGAAGGUAGAAAUUUAUAGAUGGGUAAUUCUUUUCUCGCUGAGGUCUUUAACGACUCAUCCCUCUCGAAACUUUAAAGGAUCCUCGAAAGGAAAAAGGAAGAAAAAGUGUUAAUUUAUUUUUCUGUGAUUUAAAAGUGCAGUUAAUGGAUCCUCAUUGUAAAUCAUUCCAACCCUUUUUUUUUAAUGGAAAUAGAAGUAUCUUCUUGGCUUUAGCAAGUGUGGUAAACAUUUGGCUGCCAUCUUCAUUUUACUGUGUUUACCCUUGUUGCUAUUACAAAACUGUUGUAGGUGGAGACUUUUUUUUUUUCCCCCUUUUUUUUUUUAACGUUUAGGUCCUUAUUUUAUUUUUCUUUCUUCCUUUCCAUUUUGAAUGUGUUGGAAUUAACAUACAAUAAACUACUGAUAACAUCA
ensembl:lncRNA